UACAGAGAGUGCAAGCGUUAAUCGGAAUUACUGGGCGUAAAGCGCGCGUAGGUGGAUUUUUAAGUCGAUUGUGAAAGCCCCGGGCUUAACUUGGGAAUUGCAUUCGAUACUGAAUGUCUAGAGUAUGGUAGAGGGAAGUGGAAUUUCAGGUGUAGCGGUGAAAUGCGUAGAUAUCUGAAGGAACACCAGUGGCGAAAGCGGCUUCCUGGACCAAUACUGACACUGAGGUGCGAAAGCGUGGGGAGCAAACAGG
rnacentral:rRNA from 1 species